rnacentral:sRNA from 1 species
GAUCACUUCCUGAGGGAAGUCAAGGCCAUACGGACAGCCGGGUCCACUGCCGA